UUCAUUGAUCUGUGUCUUUCAGUACUACCACUGACCGGCUUUCCACAUCUUGAAGUUGAAAAGCUCCACAAAGAUCCUAGACCCCUCUCUGGACUGACUUGAAAAGUCAGAAUACUGCAGGAAACUGAGGACUCUGAGCUGCACUUGGCAGCUCCAAAACAAUGGCAGAGCGGAUGGCGGACGCCAACCCCGCCAAGGUGAUCCAGAACCCAAAGGCUGAUGUUAAGAACUCGAGUGAAGUUUCAGCUGAGUCUGUAUUGGUGGCAGCAGUCAAAGUCAGACCUGCAGACCUGGGUCUAAUUCGAAGCUUGUCCAAGUCAGACUCUGACUUGUUGGCGUCACCACUCGAAGAGGAGGAUGGAAAUCUGACUGGCCGCAGUGGGUCCGUGUCUAACUGCAGCACUGGGCAGCCGUCCGUGGAGCGCAUGUCUUCCUUUGCCUCUGAGUGGGAUGAGAUUGAGAAGAUCAUGAACUUAAUUGGGGCAGGCAUUGAAACUUCCAAAAAUAAACAGCCCACACCAAGCUCAGAUGGGGCCUGUGGUAAAGCCCUGGACCAGCCGGUGGGAGAGUGGCUGGAGCACGUGGGGCUGCCGCAGUAUGAGAGCAGGUUCCUGCUCAAUGGCUUCGACGACCUACGAUUCAUGGGAAGUAACGUGAUGGAGGACCAGGAUCUCAGAGACAUUGGGAUCACUGACCCAGGACACAGAAAGAAAAUCCUCCAUGCGGCGCGCAGCUUGCCCAAGGUUAAAGCACUGGGCUGUGAUGGCAGCACAUCUCUUGCAUCCUGGCUGGAUGGCCUCGGCCUGCAUGAAUAUCUACCCAACUUUCUUUCUAGUGGCUACCGCACACUGGAGUGUGUUAAGAACCUGUGGGAGCUGGAGAUUGUCAAUGUUAUUAAGAUUGGUCCCCUGGGCCACAGGAAGAGAAUCAUUGCCUCUCUAGCAGAGAGACCCUAUGAAGAGGCUCCAUCCAAGUCUCGUCGUCUGUCCCCUAUUAUGUUCCAUGACCUCCUGUCCCAGACCACAUCUCCCCUCAGUCAGAUGGACCCCUACACCAGUCGCUCCAUGGACAUGCUCUUGCCUUUGACUGAGCCGGACAGGAGGCGGAGAGGAGUUGACCAAGACUGUAGUGUGUCCCUGCGUUCCUAUAGUGAGAGGCCGCGCUCUGUAGACAGACAGAGCGAACGACAUAAAGACUCUCGUUUAAACCUCCGGCCACCGAGCCAGUCUGCUACCUAUGCCACGGUGUCCGCCUGGCAUCACCAGCCUGAGAAACUCAUCCUGGACUCCUGCGGCUACGAGGCAACUUACCUAGGGUCAAUGAUAAUCAGGGAUCUACGAGGAAUUGAGUCCACACAAGAUGCCUGUGCUAAAAUUAGGAAAUCAAAAGAUUCAAGAAAGGGUCCAGUUGUCAUACUGUCCAUUACCUAUAGAGGAGUCAAGUUUAUUGAUGCAGCCACAAAGACUAUAGUUGCGGAGCAUGAGAUCAGGAACAUCUCGUGCGCCGCUCAGGACCCAGAUGAACUGUGCACUUUUGCUUAUAUUACCAAGGAUCUGAAGAGUGGCCACCACUUCUGCCAUGUCUUCAGCACUGUGGAAGUGACACAGACCUACGAGAUCAUCCUAACACUGGGACAGGCAUUUGAGGUGGCCUAUCAGAUGGCAAUUCAGUCCAGGGCAAGACACUAUGUCCCACCUACAUCUCUGGGCUCAGAGGUCAUAGAGACCAAAACCAGCCGACCUGUAUCUCAGUCGUGGAGCAGCGUGCGGAGAUCAGCAAUCGACCCCCUGGAGAUGGACGCAGACAUGCACUCCCUGGGCAGCACCACCUGGCUCUUGGACCAGCGGGACUCCAACAGGCGCCCUGUCAGCACCAAGUACGAGACCACCAUAUUCUGAGGCCGGAUCCCCACAGCCGCCCCUUUGCACCCUCUCGUACUUUCCUCCCCCUCCUGUAUCCAGUUCAUUAUUUAUUUAACACACACACACACACACACACACACACACACACACACACACACACACACACACACACACACACACACACACACACACACACACACACACACACACACACACAUACACACAUACACACAUACAUGCGAGCCCCGUGCCUUCUCACUGUGAUGGUAUAGCAUCCCUCAGGGCUGCCUACUCCUGCACCCUCCUUUGCCCUGCCCAGCGACCCACACCAACCUCUUUACCCGCCAUGAAAAAACACUCCCGCGGCUCUCCCGUGCCUCCCCAACACCCCUGGCAGCCUCCCUCGCCUGUUGCUGGUGCAGCCAAUGGCGGAGGCCUGGAACGGACGAUUUUGGAUUGAUGUCAUUAUACAGUGGCCAUGCUCUCUCAACCAAACUGCCUCUUCCUCCUCAUCCUCCUCUUCCUGACAGCUUGCAUCUGCCUCCAAAUCCCCGAUAGCUCCCAGAGCCUGUCCUGUCUUACCAGGCAUCUACCACUGUGAGGCACUAUGAGGAGGCUGCUUUGCUAGCAUGGGAUGCAAGACGGACAAUUAAUCAGCAACAUGCAGCAAACAACCAGUUUUUUUUCUAC